rnacentral:rRNA from 1 species
UACGUAGGGUGCGAGCGUUUGUCCGGAAUUACUGGGCGUAAAGAGCUCGUAGGUGGUUUGUCGCGUUGUUCGUGAAAACUCACAACUCAAUUGUGGGCGUGCGGGCGAUACGGGCAGACUGGAGUACUGCAGGGGAGACUGGAAUUCCUGGUGUAGCGGUGGAAUGCGCAGAUAUCAGGAGGAACACCGGUGGCGAAGGCGGGUCUCUGGGCCGAUACUGACGCUGAGGAGCGAAAGCGUGGGGAGCGAACAGG